AGAGCGAACGCUGGCGGCAGGCCUAAUACAUGCAAGUCGAACGGAUCCUUCGGGAUUAGUGGCGGACGGGUGAGUAACACGUGGGAACGUGCCCUUUGGUUCGGAACAACUCAGGGAAACUUGAGCUAAUACCGGAUAAGCCCUUCGGGGGAAAGAUUUAUCGCCAUUGGAGCGGCCCGCGUCUGAUUAGCUAGUUGGUGGGGUAAAGGCCUACCAAGGCUACGAUCAGUAGCUGGUCUGAGAGGAUGAUCAGCCACACUGGGACUGAGACACGGCCCAGACUCCUACGGGAGGCAGCAGUAGGGAAUCUUGCGCAAUGGGCGAAAGCCUGACGCAGCCAUGCCGCGUGAAUGAUGAAGGUCUUAGGAUUGUAAAAUUCUUUCAGCGGGGACGAUAAUGACGGUACCGCAGAAGAAGCCCCGGCUAACUUCGUGCCAGCAGCCGC
rnacentral:rRNA from 1 species